CUGGAAGAAGAAGCCCCUGGUUCUGUGAACAGCACACUGGUGUGGCAGCUGAUAGGGAGACAUCUGACUUCUGAUGUCCUCUGCAGUACAAUUCCUCAAAUGUGAAGGUGGGAUUUGGAAGAAGAAAGGCUUUCUGGACACUGGAAAAUAAGAAGACCCAGGACCCCUUGUCUGAUCUAGCUUUCUGUACUCACUGUCCAAACCCCUCCCCUUUCCUACAUCUUCUCUGAGAAAGUCAUCCUGCCUACAAUAUGCUUAAGUGGAGAACCAGAAUGUUUGUAAACAUCUC
rnacentral:lncRNA from 1 species